CAGGGAGACAACAAAAUGUUUAAUAUUAUUAUUUUGUCACCUUAGGUCGAUCGGUAUCUCACAUCCUUAAAUUAAUUAAGGAUUUUAUUUCCUAAGUUUUUCUAGGUCACACCCAUUAUUUUUCCUGGGCCAUUAGCUCAGGUGGUUAGAGCGCACCCCUGAUAAGGGUGAGGUCCCUGGUUCAAGUCCAGGAUGGCCCAUAUCUCUAUGUUGGGGGUAUAGCUCAGUUGGUAGAGCGCCUGCUUUGCAAGCAGGAUGUCAGCGGUUCGAGUCCGCUUACCUCCACUGAUUACCACCUCUUCCAUAAUUUUUAAGGAAAUGUUUUGAGUUGUGAUCAAAUUCUGAGCGAAUCUAGCUUCCUAAUGAAAUCAUUAAGAUGCUGGACUCAUUGAAUUAAAUUCAUUGUUUUCAGAGAACCUUGACAACUGCAUAGAUUAUUUUUAAAGACAAUAAGCAUCUUUAAUGAUGCAGAUUUAUUAUUUGUGCGAAUGCAUUAAUAACAAUUCUAUUAAGCUGAUGCUUCAAUUUUUGAAGUUAUU
rnacentral:tRNA from 1 species